UGAAAGCUAGGUUUCAGUCGUGAGCCAUGUGGAACACGUCUGCAUCGAAAUGGGAGCCGGGUCCUGCUGCAACUGGGGACAGCAAUACCGACAUGCAGUAAUGAGGAUGGCACCAGUAUAAAGCAACACAUUCCAUGCACUAAACAGAAGCUGCUGCCUGCUACAACAAGGUCAUUGUGUGGACUUUGGCUGCUACUACAAGAGUCUGUGCCAAGUACAUCUUGGUCAUCACGGGAGCCCCCAUCUACACCAACAGGAAGGGGCUGGAGCUGAAUUCACAAGACCACAAACAAAGAAGCCAUUCCAGAAUUAUUUGGAUGAGAUAUCAAGUCUACGGACGACUGUUUCAAGAGUGAA